rnacentral:rRNA from 1 species
CACGGCGCACGGGUGCGUAACACGUGGGUAAUCUGCCCUCCGAUGGGGAAUAACCCCGCGAAAGCGGGGCUAAUUCCGCAUAACAUUCCUUGGACCCCGGUUCGAGGAUUCAAAGGCGUAAGUCGUCGGAGGUGGAGCCCGCGCCCGAUUAGCUAGUUGAUGAGGUAACGGCUCACCAAGGCCAUGAUCGGUAGCUGGUCUGAGAGGAUGGCCAGCCACACUGGAACUGAGACACGGUCCAGACUCCUACGGGAGGCAGCAGUGGGGAAUCUUGCACAAUGGGCGAAAGCCUGAUGCAGCGACGCCGCGUGGGGGAUGAAGCAUCUCGGUGUGUAAACCCCUUUCGACUGGGACGAAUGCCUCGCAAGAGGAGUGACGGUACCAGUAUAAGAAGCCCCGGCUAACUACGUGCCAGCAGCCGCGGUAAGACGUAGGGGGCCAGCGUUGUUCGGAAUUACUGGGUGUAAAGGGUUCGUAGGCGGUGUAGCAAGUUGGGAGUGAAAUCUCUGGGCUCAACUCAGAGGCUGCUUCCAA